UGGUGUCUUGGCUAAUGUGUCUUGGCUAAUGUGUCUUGGCUAAGGUGUCUUGGCUAAUGUGUCUUGGCUAAGGUGUCUUGGCUAAGGUGUCUUGGCUAAUGUGUCACGGCUAAUGUGUCUUGGCUAAGGUGUCUUGGCUAAGGUGUCUUGGCUAAGGUGUCUUGGCUAAGGUGUCUUGGCUAAUGUGUCUUGGCUAAGGUGUCUUGGCUAAGGUGUCUUGGCUAAUGUGUCUUGGCUAAGGUGUCUUGGCUAAGGUGUCUUGGCUAAGGUGUCUUGGCUAAUGUGUCUCGGCUAAGGUGUCUUGGCUAUGGUGUCUCGGCUAAUGUGUCUUGGCUAAGGUGUCUUGGCUAAUGUGUCUUGGCUAAUGUGUCUUGGCUAAGGUGUCUUGGCUAAUGUGUCUAGGCUAAGGUGUCUUGGCUAAGGUGUCUUGGCUAAUGUGUCUUGGCUAAGGUGUCUUGGCUAAGGUGUCUUGGCUAAGGUGUCUCGGCUAAGGUGUCUUGGCUAAUGUGUUUUGGCUAAGGUGUCUUGGCUAAUGUGUCUCGGCUAAGGUGUCUUGGCUAAUGUGUCUUGGCUAAGGUGUCUUGGCUAAUGUGUCUCGGCUAAGGUGUCUUGGCUAAUGUGUCUUGGCUAAGGUGUCUUGGCUAAGGUGUCUUGGCUAAGGUGUCUUGGCUAAGGUGUCUUGGCUAAUGUGUCUUGGCUAAGGUGUCUUGGCUAAGGUGUCUUGGCUAAUGUGU